rnacentral:tRNA from 1 species
GGGCGCGUGGCCUAGUCUGGAUAGGGCGGCAGCCUCCUAAAUAAUUUGGAGCAAGCUGUAGGUCGGGGGUUCGAAUCCCCCCGCGCCCG